rnacentral:rRNA from 1 species
UACGUAGGGGGCAAGCGUUGUCCGGAAUCAUUGGGCGUAAAGAGCGUGUAGGCGGCUUGGUAAGUCCGCUGUGAAAGUCCAGGGCUCAACCCUGGAAUGCCGGUGGAAACUGUCAAGCUUGAGUCCGGAAGAGGCGAGUGGAAUUCCUGGUGUAGCGGUGAAAUGCGCAGAUAUCGGGAAGAACACCCGUGGCGAAGGCGGCACUCUGGGACGGUACUGACGCUGAGACGCGAAAGCGUGGGGAGCGAACAGG